rnacentral:rRNA from 1 species
GACGAACGCUGGCGGCGUGCUUAACACAUGCAAGUCGAACGGAAAGGCCCUGCUUUUGUGGGGUGCUCGAUUGGCGAACGGGUGAGUAACACGUGAGUAACCUGCCCUUGACUUUGGGAUAACUUCAGGAAACUGGGGCGAAUACCGGAUAGGAGCUCCUGCUGCAUGGUGGUGGUUGGAAAGUGUCGGCGGUUGGGGAUGUACUCGCGGGUUAUCAGCUUGUUGGGGGGGUAGGGGCUUACCAAGGGUUUGACGGGUAGCCGGCCUGAGAGGGUGACCGGCCACAAUGGGACUGAGAUAGGGCGCAGACUCCUACGGGAGGCAGCAGUGGGGAAUUUUGCACAACGGCGCGAAGUCUGAUGCAGAAACGCCGCGUGCGGGAAGACGGCCUUCGGGUUGUAAACCGCUUUCGCCUGUAACGAAGAGUGAGUGACGGUAAUGGGUAAAGAAGCCCCGGCUAACUACGUG